UACGAAGGGGGCUAGCGUUGCUCGGAAUCACUGGGCGUAAAGCGCACGUAGGCGGCUUCUUAAGUCAGGGGUGAAAUCCUGGAGCUCAACUCCAGAACUGCCUUUGAUACUGAGGAGCUUGAGUCCGGGAGAGGUGAGUGGAACUGCGAGUGUAGAGGUGAAAUUCGUAGAUAUUCGCAAGAACACCAGUGGCGAAGGCGGCUCACUGGCCCGGUACUGACGCUGAGGUGCGAAAGCGUGGGGAUCAAACAGG
rnacentral:rRNA from 1 species